GGGGAUGUGGCUCCGUGGUAGAGCACUUGCCUGACAUGCCUGAGGCCCUGGGUUCGAUAUCCAGCACCACGA
rnacentral:tRNA from 1 species